rnacentral:lncRNA from 1 species
AUGGAGCACACAUGGAGCUUGAAGAACAAGCAGCAAGGGUUCUGUAUUCUAAGCCUUGGAGUUUUAUGGCUCUAGCUACAUCUGCCUUACAAUUGUUCAACCAUUUAUCUAUCAGCACCAGGCAUCAGACGACAGCAAAUUCAGAUUCUUCUAAGGCAGGCAGCACUGUUUUCUUGCCAAUAAGCAAAGAACAGUGGUCAGUGUGCAAAGCAGAAGGAGCUCAUGUGGCUGCCUCGUGAAAGCACUCAAGGUGAGAGGCUGCAACCACAGUGCUGUGUUCAGACUUAAUGGACACGAGGGUAAAAAGGCAUUUAUAUUGGAAUACUGAUGCUGCCUGAUGGGGGAAGAGCUUCAGGUAGAUUUCCUGAGUCAUGUUCCCCUUACAACACACAACUUUGCUCAGAAGACACUCCUGAAGUUUACCUUUUGUAACAUCAGAAAUUCCUGCUAAGUGGAUUUCAGCAUCAUGCUCGUGGCUACAAGUUUCAUGAGCACUAUAGCACUAAAGUACCCACUAGGCACGUGGGCUGGAGUAAUAUCGGACAAUUCAUUUCCAAACUGGCUACAGUGAGGUCCCAGCACUACCUUCUUUGACAAUGUAUCAUACGUGACAGUCUUUCCUGGAUGCCUGUUAGCUCCCAACAGACAUUCUACACCUCAUGCUUUCAUAUUCAAUUCCUUCAGCCCCUCUGAAGGUUUCCUCUCCCAGAGAGAGGGGUCAACAUCUACGCUUCAUGUCCACGUGAUCAGCAUCACCACACCUGUGGACAGGAGGAUGAUUGAGGAUGCAACACCAAGUCACAGUCAAUCUGCCUUCCCUUCACAGCCCUACCCCAGUGGUUCCAGCCACCUCAGCCCAGUGAGCUGGUCCACAACCCAAACCCCUGUGCCAGCACACAAGGAAAGUCACUGAGCUCUGGGAUCCAGGAGAAAAAAACGUUAGACCUCAUGGACAGAUCCAUGUUCUUCUGGGGAAAUACAAGCCCAUAUAGUGGCACGCUCUGCUUAGAUCAGGUCAGGCUCUAUCAGAACUGUUUCAGGUUAAGUGGCAGAGGCAAUGCAGUCAAGAUCCUCCAAGGUUGUCAACCUGACCCCCAGAGCAGUUCCAGGCCUUCAGAGAUGAGGUGGCUGUCCUGAGCAGUGUAGGACAUGUGGACAUUCUGCUCUUGUUGGGGUUCAUGACACAGGACAACCUGGCAUUGUGACCCAGUGCUGUGAAGGCAGCCUCUACAGCUACCUGCAUGUCCAGGAGACCAAGUUUCAGACAUUCCAGCUAAUUGACAUUGCCUGGUAGACAGCUCAGGGAAGGGACUAGUUGGCAUGCAGAGAAGAUCAUCCACAGAGACAUAAAAUCCAACAUAUUUCUCCAUGAAGGCCUCAUGGUGUGAACUAGAGACAUUUUGGUUUGGCAACAGUGAAGUCACACCGAAGUGAUUCUCAGCAGAUUAAGGAAACCCACAGGCAAUGGCCCCAGAGGCGAUCUGAACGAAGGGUAAAAACCCACUCAGCUUCCAGUCCCAUGUCAAUGCCUAUGGCAUCUCAUUUUAUGAGCUGAUGGGAGGGGCACUUCCUUUCUCCCACAUCAACAACCCCGACCAGAUUAUCUUCUUGACAGGCUGGGGGUAUCCCCCCAUUCCUAGAUCUUAGCAAGAUACACAAGAACUGCCCGAAAGCAAUGAAGAGGCUGGUAGCUGAC